rnacentral:lncRNA from 1 species
CUUGAAGCCCAUGAGAUACUUUAUCCUUUUGCUGGAACACACUUUCAUGACUUCAUUAAAGAUGGGAUGUUUUUUUCUCCUCAUGUACUCCCAAUCAACCCAUUGUGCCUCAUAAGUGAUCUUGGAUUUCUUUAGAAUAACUAUGGCAUAGAAGUCCUGUUGAAAAAGAUUCCAGAAUCUAUAAUCAUGAGUGGUUCUAGGCACACUGUAGGGAUCCUCUCUCCUUAGCUUCUUAGCUAUCUUGGCCAUACCAUCCCCAAAAUAGUUUGUAGGCCCUCUGGACAUAAGAUAGGGUGGCCUACGAAUCUCGGGCAUCUGACGGUUAUCAUCAACAUCACCAUCACCAUCUCCACCAUCAUUACCAUGAUCAGCACCCUCAUCAUCAUCCUCCCCAUUACUGCUGCUCCCAUCACUGCCCACUGGCUCCUUGCCACUACGGUGCUAAAUGGUAUACUCUUCCUCCUCAAUAUCAUCAUUGCUAGUCUCAUGAUCACUCUCC